rnacentral:rRNA from 1 species
UACGGGGGGAGCAAGCGUUGUUCGGAUUUACUGGGCGUAAAGGGCGCGUAGGCGGCGCGACAAGUCACUUGUGAAAUCUCCGGGCUUAACUCGGAGCGGCCAAGUGAUACUGUCGUGCUAGAGUGCGGAAGGGGCAACUGGAAUUCUCGGUGUAGCGGUGAAAUGCGUAGAUAUCGAGAGGAACACCUGCGGCGAAGGCGGGUUGCUGGGCCGACACUGACGCUGAAGCGCGAAAGCCAGGGGAGCAAACAGG